UAGGGAAUCUUCGGCAAUGGACGGAAGUCUGACCGAGCAACGCCGCGUGAGUGAAGAAGGUUUUCGGAUCGUAAAGCUCUGUUGUAAGAGAAGAACGAGUGUGAGAGUGGAAAGUUCACACUGUGACGGUAUCUUACCAGAAAGGGACGGCUAACUACGUGCCAGCAGCCGCGGUAAUACGUAGGUCCCGAGCGUUGUCCGGAUUUAUUGGGCGUAAAGCGAGCGCAGGCGGUUAGAUAAGUCUGAAGUUAAAGGCUGUGGCUUAACCAUAGUACGCUUUGGAAACUGUUUAACUUGAGUGCAAGAGGGGAGAGUGGAAUUCCAUGUGUAGCGGUGAAAUGCGUAGAUAUAUGGAGGAACACCGGUGGCGAAAGCGGCUCUCUGGCUUGUAACUGACGCUGAGGCUCGAAAGCGUGGGGAGCGAACAGGAUUAGAUACCCUGGUAGUCCACGCCGUAAACGAUGAGUGCUAGGUGUUAGGUCCUUUCCGGGACUUAGUGCCGCAGCUAACGCAUUAAGCACUCCGCCUGGGGAGUACGACCGCAAGGUUG
rnacentral:rRNA from 1 species